CAAAGGCAGAGGUGGAGCCAUUCGUUCCAAAACUAGCCAAUAUGUGUUGGCAUUUGAUGAGACUAGUGACAUAAAUAUAAGGAGAGAGUGUAUCCUUAGAUCCAUCAUUCUCUACCUUGGUGAGGAUGACAAAAACCUGAUAAAAGACUACAUGGAUAUACAAGAUGAGCAGGAAUCAGAUGACCUCUCUAAACAGACAAUGGCUAUCUUUGUGAAACGAAAACCAUGUGAGAGACCCGUUGAAAUGCCAGAUCGUCA